rnacentral:rRNA from 1 species
AGUAUCUGUGGAUUAAAGGUGGCUUUUGGGCUGUCGCAGAUGGAUGAGCCUGCGUUGGAUUAGCUAGUUGGUGGGGUAAGGGCCUACCAAGGCUACGAUCCAUAGCUGAUUUGAGAGGAUGAUCAGCCACAUUGGGACUGAGACACGGCCCAAACUCCUACGGGAGGCAGCAGUGAGGAAUAUUGGACAAUGGGGGCAACCCUGAUCCAGCAAUGCCAUGUGUGUGAAGAAGGCCUUAGGGUUGUAAAGCACUUUAGUUGGGGAAGAAAGCUUUGAGGUUAAUAGCCUUGAGGAAAAGGACGUUACCCAAAGAAUAAGCACCGGCUAACUCCGUGCCAGCAGCCGCGGUAAUACGGGGGGUGCAAGCGUUAAUCGGAAUUACUGGGCGUAAAGGGUCUGUAGGUGGUUUGUUAAGUCAGAUGUGAAAGCCUAGGGCUCAACCUUGGAACUGCAUUUGAUACUGGUAAACUAGAGUACGGUAGAGGAAUGGGGAAUUUCUGGUGUAGCGGUGAAAUGCGUAGAGAUCAGAAGGAACACCAAUGGCGAAGGCAACAUUCUGGACCGAUACUGACACUGAGGGACGAAAGCGUGGGGAUCAAACAGGAUUAGAUACCCUGGUAGUCCACGCUGUAAACGAUGAGUACUAGCUGUUGGAGUCGGUGUAAAGGCUCUAGUGGCGCAGCUAACGCGAUAAGUACUCCGCCUGGGGACUACGGCCGCAAGGCUAAAACUCAAAGGAAUUGACGGGGACCCGCACAAGCGGUGGAGCAUGUAGUUUAAUUCGAUGCAACGCGAAGAACCUUACCUGGUCUUGACAUCCUGCGAUCUUUCUAGAGAUAGAUUGGUGCCUUCGGGAACGCAGUGACAGGUGCUGCACGGCUGUCGUCAGCUCGUGUUGUGAAAUGUUGGGUUAAGUCCCGCAACGAGCGCAACCCCUAUUGAUAGUUACCAUCAUUAAGUUGGGUACUCUAUUAAGACUGCCGCUGACAAGGCGGAGGAAGGUGGGGACGACGUCAAGUCAUCAUGGCCCUUACGACCAGGCUA